AAUCAACGCUGGCGGCGUGCCUAACACAUGCAAGUCGCACGAGAAAGGGUAGCAAUACCUGAGUAAAGUGGCGCACGGGUGAGUAACACGUGACUAAUCUACCCUCGAGUGGGGAAUAACUGAGAGAAAUCUUAGCUAAUACCGCAUAACACUUACGAGUCAAAGCAGCAAUGCGCUUGGGGAGGAGGUCGCGGCAGAUUAGCUAGUUGGUGGGGUAANGGCCCACCAAGGCAAUGAUCUGUAUCCGGCCUGAGAGGGCGCACGGACACACUGGAACUGAAACACGGUCCAGACUCCUACGGGAGGCAGCAGUGGGGAAUUUUGCGCAAUGGGGGAAACCCUGACGCAGCGACGCCGCGUGGAGGAUGAAGGUCUUCGGGUUGUAAACUCCUGUCAUUUGGGAACAAGGUGCACGUGUUUACUGCACGUGUAUUGAUAGUACCAGAAGAGGAAGGGACGGCUAACUCUGUGCCAGCAG
rnacentral:rRNA from 1 species